rnacentral:rRNA from 1 species
UACAGAGGUCUCAAGCGUUGUUCGGAUUCAUUGGGCGUAAAGGGCGUGUAGGCGGCGCGCUAAGUCGGGUGUGAAAUCUCGGAGCUUAACUCCGAAACUGCAUUCGAUACUGGCGUGCUUGAGGACUGGAGAGGAGACUGGAAUUCAUGGUGUAGCAGUGAAAUGCGUAGAGAUCAUGAGGAAGACCAGUGGCGAAGGCGGGUCUCUGGACAGUUCCUGACACUGAGACACGAAGGCCAGGGGAGCAAACGGG